UUCAGCAGGGGGAGCUAAGCCCAUAUAACACGUAGAUUCCUUUUUAUGACGGUAAGUCUACACAAUCCAGGCUAUUGUCUUACUCUCAUGCUAAGCCUUGUUCCCUAUCCCGAUAUGUUAGAAAUAUAUAUGUAUAUGCAUAUGAUUGUGUGCAUUGGCAUCGAAUGAUUUUGAACUAUUAAUUGUGGCAUUACUUUAACCCCUUUUCUGAGUUACAUGCUAGCGUUCAUCCCACUAACCAUCUCCAAAUUCUAUAUCCCCA
rnacentral:lncRNA from 1 species